GUACUUUGGUUUCUCUUCAGAUUGUAUGCAUCUUUUGUCUUUUACUAAAGAAUUCCGUGGUGAGGAACAUUUAUGAAUUUGUAACUAUUUUUUUUUCAGGUCCUG
rnacentral:snRNA from 1 species